rnacentral:rRNA from 1 species
GACGAACGCUGGCGGCGUGCUUAACACAUGCAAGUCUAACGGAAAGGCCCUUCUUUUGUUGGUUUCUCGAGUUGCUAACUUUUGAGUAACACGUGUGUAACCUUCCCUUUACUUUUGUAUAACUUCAUGAAACUGGUUCUAAUACCUUAUAUGAUCUCCUUCUGCAUGGUGUUGUUUUGAAAGUUUCGGCGGUUGUGGAUGGACUCGCGGCUUAUCAGCUUGUUGGUGGGGUAGUGGCUUACCAAGGCUUUGACGGGUAGCCGGCAUGAGAGGGUGACCGGCCACAAGGGGACUGAGAUAAGGCACAGAAUGCUACGGGAGGCAGCAGUGGGGAAUAUUGCACAAUGGGCGGAAGCAUGAUGAAGAAACGCGGCGUGCGGGAUGACGGCCUUCGGGUUGUAAAAAGAUUUAGAAUGUGACGAAGAGUGAGUGACGGUAAUGGGUAAAGAAGCACCGGCUAACUACGUG